rnacentral:rRNA from 1 species
UACGUAGGUGGCGAGCGUUGUCCGGAUUUACUGGGCGUAAAGAGCGCGCAGGCGGUCGUGCAAGUCGCGUGUGAAAGCCCCCGGCUCAACUGGGGAGGGUCACGCGAUACUGCUCGACUCGAAGGCAGGAGAGGGAAGUGGAAUUCCCGGUGUAGUGGUGAAAUGCGUAGAUAUGUGGAGGAAUACCGAUGGCGAAGGCAGCCCCCUGGGAUAACACUGACGCUCAUGCACGAAAGCGUGGGGAGCAAACAGG